rnacentral:rRNA from 1 species
CCUACGGGUGGCAGCAGUGAGGAAUAUUGGUCAAUGGGCGUAAGCCUGAACCAGCCAAGUCGCGUGAGGGAUGAAGGUUCUAUGGAUCGUAAACCUCUUUUAUGAGGGAAUAAAGUGCGGGACGUGUCCCGUUUUGUAUGUACGUUAUGCAUAAGGAUCGGCUAACUCCGUGCCAGCAGCCGCGGUAAUACGGAGGAUCCGAUCGUUAUCCGGAUUUGUUUGGUUUAAGGGGUGCGUAGGCGGCCUUUUAAGUCAGCUGUGAAAGUCUGUGGCUCAACCAGAGAAUUGCCGUGGAAACUGGGAGGCUUGAGUAUGUUUGAGGCAGGCGGAAUGCGUGGUGUAGCGGUGAAAUGCGUAGAUAUCACGCAGAACCCCGAUGGCGAAGGCAGCCUGCCAAGCCAUGACUGACGCUGAUGCACGAAAGCGUGGGGAUCAAACAGGAUUAGAUACCCCUGUAGUC